rnacentral:lncRNA from 1 species
UUUGAUAAGCCAUGAAAGAAUCUUUGGUUGGAAUGCGACUCUCAAUUAGUGAUCCUAGCCUUCAAGGAUGUCAGCAUAGUCCCACGGCAGAUUCAAAAUACGUGGGAAAAUACAAUUUGGCUCACCAGAUCAAUGAACUUCGUGGUGGGUCACAUUUAUCGUGAAGGUAACUCAUGUCCAGAUAGACUUGUCUUAAAUGUCAACACUAUACAAGAUUUUUGCUGGUGGGAUUUCACCCCCACACUUCUCACUUCUCUUUUUGUACAUGGCAGAUAUGUUUUUUCCUAUUACAUGUUUAGGUAGAUUUUUGCAUUGUUUCCUCAUGGGUUUGGUCUAACCCCCAAUGAUCCUCGUGUAUCUUUUGCUUUGAUUAUUAAUAUAUUUGGCCUUUGCUGUUAUGACCUUUUGCUUGUUGAGGUGGGAACCUAAUUGAAAUUAUGACAAAUACUUGAUCUCAGUUUAGUGUCCAUUAUAUAUAUAUAUAUAUAUAUAUAUAUAUAUAUAUAUAUAUCCAACCAUCAUGGGACUAAGGUUUACAAUGUCCAUGUUAGACGGAGCUAAAUUUUUUGUCGUCAUUGUGUAUGACAAUAUUCUAUAUUAAUAAUCAGCUCAUUUUUGUUUUAUAAUGAAAUUUUUGUUUCGUGGGAAAGUGAAAACACAGGUAAAAACUGCAGGAGGUCAUGGAAAUUGAGAAAGGUCAACCCCUUGGGCAUUAUAUGGGCUCAUAGUAGUUAUGUUACCUCACCAGCAAUUAUGUACUGUUAUGCUAUUUUAUGAUUAUGGGGAAAACAUUAUCAUUAAGCUCUGACUCUGUAUUGCGGACACCAUCUUCAACCAGCUCGAUCAAGAUACUUGUG